CUAUACAUGCAAGUCGAACGGUGUCUUCGGACAUAGUGGCGCACGGGUGCGUAACACGUAUGCAACCUACCUUACAUUGGGGGAUAGCCUUUCGAAAGGGAGAUUAAUACCGCAUAAGACAGUAACUAGGCAUCUAGUAGCUGUUAAAGAUUUAUCGAUGUAAGCUGGGCAUGCGACCAAUUAGCUAGUUGGUGAGGUAAUGGCUCACCAAGGCUAUGAUUGGUAGGGGAACUGAGAGGUCAAUCCCCCACACUGGCACUGAGAUACGGGCCAGACUCCUACGGGAGGCAGCAGUAGGGAAUAUUGGGCAAUGGACGCAAGUCUGACCCAGCCAUGCCGCGUGCAGGAUGAAGGCGUUAUGCGUUGUAAACUGCUUUUAUACAGGAAGAAACGACUCUUGCGAGAGGCAUUGACGGUACUGUAUGAAUAAGCACCGGCUAACUCCGUGCCAGCAGCCGCGGUAAUACGGAGGGUGCAAGCGUUGUCCGGAUUUAUUGGGUUUAAAGGGUGCGCAGGUGGUUUAUUAAGUCAGUGGUGAAAGACGGUCGCUCAACGAUUGCAGUGCCAUUGAAACUGGUAGACUUGAGUAAAGUAGAGGUGGGCGGAAUUGAUAGUGUAGCGGUGAAAUGCAUAGAUAUUAUCAAGAACUCCAAUUGCGUAGGCAGCUCACUUGGCUUUUACUGACACUCAUGCACGAAAGUGUGGGUAUCAAACAGGAUUAGAUACCCUGGUAGUCCACACUGUAAACGAUGAUAACUAGGUGUCGGCCGAAUCUGGUCGGUGCCACAGCGAAAGCGUUAAGUUAUCCACCUGGGGAGUACGCCGGCAACGGUGAAACUCAAAGGAAUUGACGAGGGUCCGCACAAGCGGUGGAGCAUGUGGUUUAAUUCGAUGAUACGCGAGG
rnacentral:rRNA from 1 species